UAAAAUUCGCGCGGAAAAAAUCGUGAUUUGAUACAAAUUGCGGUAUUCAACUCUGGCGAAUACUUUGUGCAGUAUGGAGUUGUGACUUGUGGGGCGCUCACCGCAUCCGCAGUGCGGGCAGGUAAGAGCUAAUUCCGUACGCGGAAAAUAAAUCUGUACAAAAUAUUCGCGCGAAUUUGACACCGCAAUUUGUAUCAAUUCACUUUUUCCGCGCGAAUUUUGAAUCGCAGUGCGGGCAUCUCUAUAUUAUGAUUGUAAGUGUUACGAAGCGUCAAUGGCGAAAACAAAUCGUGCGAUUUUCAUUCGCUGUGCGGGCUAGCUCUAACAAUAUCGAGAAUUUAUGGCAAACGCAAUCUCUAGCGAAAAGCGAAUUUUACCAGUACAGUACGAUAAUAGUAGUAAGCGCAUGCGUACGAGGUUUUAUUUACCUAUUUAAGUUUGUGUGGAUGUGUGCAACACGGAAACUUGGCGUUUGCGUCGCCAUGCCUGGUUCUUACCGCGAGUUAACAAUGAAGCCGUGAUGGUCCUUGAAGUGAAAACGCGAUUUGUUUACCUUUUAAGUCGGCCAAGGCAAAAUAGAUUAUAAUAUAUUAUUAUGUAUAUUGUUUUAGAUAUCAGUCAUACCAAAUAUAUAGCAACCCUAAUACAUGUAAUGGUUUUAAUGUAAAAUGCAUUAUCUGGAGGCUAUAAUUUACUUAAAAAUUCACAUAAAAUUAUACACGAAUACAAUGUGACGUCCCCUGUGUCUCAUGAAUCAUGAAUUUUAAUUUUAUUCAAUUGAAAAUCAAUUAAUAAUGGCAAUAUUAAUUUUGUUACUUUUUAUAAUAUUCAUUUAUUCGUUAAGGUCUAGCAAACACUAGCAGUAAUUGUAAUUAUUGUGGAUGAAUUGCAUAUUGUGUAUGGAUCGACAUCAAGUUUAAUAGUCUUCGGUCGAAAUACAAUAUUAUGUUAAUUGAA